rnacentral:lncRNA from 1 species
AUGAGGAACAGCUCUGCCGGUACCAAAGUGCCCUGCAGGAGGUGCUCUAGGCAAGCAGCGGAAGCUCCCUGCAGCCCAGAAAAGGCCUACGGAGGAGUAGGCUGUCGCCUGCAGCCCACAGACAUCACGUGGAGCAGAUCUCCUAGUGCAGCCGUGGACGAGCCCCUACAGGAGCAGCCUCGGCUGGAACUGCACCCCGUGUGGAGGAGCCCUGGCAGGGCAAGAGGGCUGGGGGAACUGCUGCUUGUGGAGCAGUGUGCUCCUGAAGGUGGGCUUUGUGAAAGGGGAGCCAUGUCAGAGCACUGCUUGAUGAGCUGCGCCCUUGGGAAGCUGACACAGGAAAGGGAGAGGAGAAAGUUCUAUUUGGACUUGAGAUUGUAGUGGGAGUUUUAAUGAAGUGGAUGCGGAAGGGUGAAUUCCUGUCGUGUUCUUUUGGACACACUUGCUGAAAAGUGAGGAAGGAGAAUCACAGAUGAUUGAGGCACUGUUAUUUGCAGUCCACGUUCUUGGAAAUGAUCAUUUAUUCUGCACACCAUAUGUACACCUCACAUAAUCUAGUCUUUUCUGUACCUGUAUUCUGUAUCCCACUUUUAAGCCUUCCCCAAUCCUUUUAUCUCUGAGGUGCAUACUUAAAGGCAUUCUUGCCCUUAAUUAACUAAGCAAUUAAAAAUCUAUUUAAAAAAACCCACAAACAUUAAUGUGCUGCAUUAAACUUGCCUACUUUUUUCCUAUUGUAGCAGUGGGUAAUAAACAGUAAUCUGCAGGUGUCUUAGAUGUCUGACUGAGACAUUUCAUCUCUAAAUUAAUAUUUGAAGUGGCAGAUACUCAAUCCAGUAUAAUAAUUCAUCAAUGACACUGUGAAACAUAUUCCAGCUUCAUCUUUAGCAUUAAGUCUUUUUUUUUUUUUUUUACCUUUCCCUUAAGCUCACUGUUGAGAUGUAUUCCUUGAGUCAAUAUAUAUAUAUAUUUUUGUAACAUCAAAAACGUUGAAUUGAUUAGGAGGGUUUAUCUUGGAUUCAAGGACCGUAUUAU